UAUAAAACAAUCGUUCCUUACAUAGGUACGCUGCAUCCAGGCAAAGGGAAUCCCGUGAGAAUCGGGAGCGGACCCGCCGCUGUAAUCCCGGCCCUGUUGAAAGACAGGGUCAAAGCUUUUACCGAAGAACGCCACUGGCCGUGCAUAUGGGCUGGGAAGGCAGGUAGAGGUGGGAGAGCCAGAAAACCUGUCAGGAUGUUCUCGCACAG
rnacentral:ncRNA from 2 species